UUAUGUCUAGGUAAGUUUCUCUAAUCAAGUAUGAGGAGGGAAUUUGGGAGGUUUGGGAGAAAGAAGGGUAAUGGGGGGCAUCUCUGAUCUCUCUAAGACGGGGUUAGGGGUAGGGUGGGGUGGGGUAAGGGAGAGAUGUUACUCUGACUGUUAUCUCCCUUUGAAAUCCUUUUCCCUAGCUGGGCUGCCUUGUCUGACCUCAGUGGGAUAGGAUGUACCACCUAGUACUGCUGCAACUUGAUGUGCCAAUGAGAGUUGGUAUUCCCGGAGAAAGGGGAGUGGGGGAUGAGAGUGGGACUGGGAGGAGAGGAGGGAGGAGAGGCUCCCAACACCUGUGAGAGUGAGCACAGCGGAUCUAGAUGAGCAGAGACUGGCUAUGGUUUUAGAGCUUUAUUGUAGAAAGGCAGGGAGAAAGAGAGAAGGUAGAAGAGAGAGAGAGAGAGACAGAGAGAAAGGGCUAGAAAGAAAGAGACUUAGAGGGAGAGAAAAGAGGAGAGGAGAGAGGAGAAGACAAAGAGAGGGGAGAGAGGCUGAGAGUGAGGGGUAAGAGGUAAGAGAGUGAGAAGUAAGUAAGAUACAAGUAAGAGAGCAAGCAGGGGCUGAACAACCCAUUUAUGGCCUUUACUGUUGCUAGGUAACUGGGGAGGAGUUUAGCCUGAAGGUCAGAAGCUUGGGCCAUUGCCUACAUGACUUCUAGCCAUGCUUCUCUUGUAAGGGCUGUGGGGGUCUGUAACUAAGGCAGGAUCCAGAGUUCCAGGAGCAUGAGGGAAAUUCACUCCUACUAUGUCAUGAAGGUGAAUUAUCACCAUUUUUGAGGUUCAGACCUCAGCUUAACUGGAGACCAGCCUGUCUGUGCAUAGCCCAAUAACCCACAGUAUCUUGGGUAUUCUAAGUUUCUGGGCUAAUAUCCACUUAACAGUGAGUGCAUAUCUAAUGACUUCUUUUGUUAUUGUGCUACCUCACUCAGGAUGAUGCCCUCCAGGUCCA
rnacentral:lncRNA from 1 species